rnacentral:lncRNA from 1 species
CUAUAGCUUGUAGCUUGUAACGAAUAGUUGUUGUAUUAAUUGCUUUUGAAAUAUGUCUGAUAUUUAUUAUUGUAUAGUGCUUGGUAUGUGUACUCCUCAGAUAAAUGAAUCCGUAUUGCAGGGACUAAAUACAAUAUUUUAUAAUAAGAUUAACGAGAUAUUGAAAUAAACGACAACUUUUCUUUUCUACUUUUACAAAUAUUGCCAUGAAAUUCCAUUAUGGGACAUUUCAAUCAAGUACAACUGAUGCUAAACAAUACAAACUAUUCUGUAUGCUUGGAGUAAUGGAUUGUUCCCCACGGUGGUAUAAAUACUCUACAAUCGUAUGUAUGGUUUGGUUGACAAAAAUGAUGUCAGAUGCAGUUCCCUAGUUUGACUGGUACCAUCAGUACAAUUAUUUCAGAUGAACAAUUGACUGGACUUUGGAUAUGUUUAUGAUGGUGCCACCGGUGGGGCAGGAUACGCUCACCUUUUCGCGUACACCUAGUAUCUGGACUAUUUUAUAGUGAUCAUAAACACAUGCUCUGUCAUCAUAUUGCAUGGCGACAAUCUCUGGACUGUCUGGUCUAGACUCGAUUUGUUUACAAACUUCAUUCUGCAGGUGUAAAACAAAUAUCCAUUCAUGACUGUACAGUCGACUUUGCUUUUAGCAGAGAUUUGGUAUGGAGGUGGAAAGCGUUUUCUCGCUUCUAUUCUACUCCCAGGGCCGCUGUUUACUGUGAGUUCUUUAGGUAACACCACAUAGUGGUCUACAGUUGGGGUGUACUCUCAAGGUCGUUAUGUACAUAUAGUGUCGGUCGUGUAUGUCACAUUAGCUAGAGCAGCAUAGAGUUUGCAUACAUAUUGACAGUUGCUGGUUAUUAGCAGAUAAUGCUAACAAGUAAGGAAAUCCUUUGGACUGUAACUAUUUUCUACAUCUAACCACAGCUUGAAUUAUAUGACAAUUCGUGUCAUGAUUAUGUUAAACUGUUUUAUUCCCUAGAUGCACCCGACAUCACAUUCAACCCCGUUGAUAUAAAAAAGCAAGAUGUAAUAUGACUCAUAUGCCUGACAAAAUCGUUCUGGGUUUGAAGGUGCAUGGCGAGAAUCUAUAUGUAAAUUGAAUGCAAUAGACAAGACUGUUUUGUAACUAGUUUUUUGGGGUUUUCGUUUUGAUUAUAUUAGAAAAGAAUCCCAUGUUUUUUCUCUGAUUUCCCAUUCCCCGGCUUGUUUACUGAAAGACUGGUAUUGUUACAUUAGUAUGUGCUAAGCUAUCCAAGUGUCUCUCGAAUACUUCCUUGAAGUUGAAUAUUCCCAAACUAACAUUGUGAAUAAACUAACCCUUUAGGAAGAAAAGUGAGUAAAUAGUGAGUUUACGAACAGCAACACAAAUGGUCGAUGUGGAGAUUUUCGAUCAUUCCCAUGCAACGACGUUUUACCCUUUACUGAUUUCUCUAUAUCCGAUUCUGUUCCAUUUGCAGGUAGAAGCAAACCUUAAAACAGCUAUCUAUUGAUUUCAGAUUUUUAGAGGAAGGAAAACAUAUGAGGAAAUGCCCUAUUGCUAUUAUCCAUUGACUUUCACUCAUUCAUUCAUUAUUUUUCCGUCAUGAUUCUCAUUUUUCACACAUAUGCUCCAUGUCAUAUCUCAUUUAUGCUCAGUGUGAAAUCAACACUGUUGAUCUCGAAAUAACAUGUCUUAAAUGAAGUGUGCAGUUUGACUGGCGCCCCUAUGCAAAUCAACUGUUUAUCUGUGAUGACUAUUUUUGUUUAACUGAGUCAGGACCACCUGAUGAACCAACACGAUUCAAAGUCAUUGACAACGAGACAACAUCGUCUGUGUGGUUGACAUGGACGCCUGGGUUCGAUUGAGGCUACCCCCGGGAGUUUGUGUUGGAGUACCCCACGUUUGGCUCUUCAACAUGGAAUGUACUUGGUACCUACGGAGAUACAGGUGAAGCGUUUGCGGUGGAAGUGAACAGUUUGGCACCUGGGGAGACAUACGGCUUCCGGCUUCAUGCUCGGAAUACCAAGUAUGAGGCAUCAACCACAGCAUUUGUCUUCCUGGAAGCAAAGACCAUCUCAGGUACCUGAUACCUUUAUGCUUCCGAACAUGCAUGCUCAUACAAGACUGAACAUUCAACACAAUUUGUGACAACAGCUUUUCGGGCCAUUGAUUUCCAGGUUUUUUGUGAGAAAACACAGUAAGACAAAUGCAUGUUUAAUGGUUAUCCUCGCAGUGUUAAUUUGUGUACUAUUGUAUUGGUUACUUAUUGUUAUGUUUAAGUUUCCUUGUGUUUUGCCACGCAUGGUUUAUAGCUGAAUCUGUGAUCGGAACUGCUCUUCUCAUCCUACUGGUUGAAGGGCUACUAUAUGCCUGUUUUGUCAGAAAAGAAUACAGAUGGGUAUGUAUGUAAAGGUAGAAUUCAUCAUCACGCUGGCACAUAUACGAGAAAUGUAUUUAUCAUAUAAAUGAAUAAUUGUUUAUCGUGCUAUUUAGAGACUGACAAUUUAAUAUUAUGGAGGGAUGGUGUUAGGUUUUGAAAUGCAGAAAAUGCUUAAAUAAAACCACCUGUUUUGUUAAACUGAAUUAACCAAGAACAAACAUGAAUGUAUGCCUUUCCUUUAUUUCACAGAAUCGACUCCAGGAGAAAGGUGAUGUUUAAAAUGUAUCAAUCUCUUUACUUAGUUUAAUACACGUACAUAACUUAUUCAACGUAUUCAAACUGAAGGUUUUUAGACACAUCUGCACAACACCCAACUGUGAAUGCAUAUGAGCUCAAAGUGUUACUUCCUUCUAGUGCAUGGAGCCCAAUAAAUGAAGUAGACAAUGUUGGAUACUCAUCUGUAGGGAGGAGUGCAAAGAGAGGAACAGCCAGGUGUGGGAGAAAGUAUGGAGAAGGCACAGCUCAGUAGUAAUUCAGCUGUAUGACCCCGGCCGAUGAAUAGUCGACUCAAGGACAGACAAACCAGAUUGGCGACAGAUCAAGAUGACCCAGUGACCAAGCCGGACUGUCCAAUCUACCGUGCAGACUAACAUACGUUUCCAAAGCAUUAGGUCAACUGCAGCAACAUAUUAGCGAACGUAGUGAAUGUGAGUGUACUAGGGAUGGGUGAUCGCAGAAUCUAUGUACUUGAGGGGGACAUUACACCACCUGUCGAUAAGACCGACUCUACCUGAACGCUAUCUAGGCUAUCUAGGAUCUACAGGGAUCUAUGUUACUGCACUCCACUAUCCAUGAAAGGCAGUUACCGAGUGGACAACGAAAGAUCGAUGCCCUGUGGUCUAAAUGUAAUGUUCACUCACAUUGCAGUGUCGACUGAUAGUCGACGGAUGACAAGCUCGUUUGAGUGAGUGAGUGAGUUAAUAUUUAACGUCACAUCGGCAAUAUUUCAGCCAUAUCGUGACGACAAGCUCGUUUGAAGGAUGAAUAAGAAGGUAAUUACUUUCUCCUAGUGGUGUGGAGCUUUAAUGUGAGUAGAGUAGUCUGCGCCAGUGGCGCUAAACAGAGCUAUUUCAGGGGAUUAAGACUUGAAUUGUGUAUUCUCGCUCCAGUGCAAGCACGGCCACUACGUCAUGUUUCUAUGUAAAGCAUGUCGUUUUCAGUAUUUUAACAUUUUGUUGUAUGUUUCAGAUUUGUGACAGUGGGACUAAGAUCUGUUGUAAUCCAGGCGUGUUGCUGUUGCUAGGUUACAGAGCCAGUGUGAUAGUAAUGUGAGCUGCUGUAUGUGCAGACAUUCGAUUAUGUAUAUUGCUCUGAAGAACCGUUAUAAUACUAAUGUAAGCUGCCGUACGCGCAGUCGGUAUUAUAUUGUUUGGACUGAAAAACUGUUAUAGUACAUAGAGAAGUUAUAUCUUGAUAGUGUAUGUCCACGCAUGUUAUUGUCAGUACAACUGUACUUAGUGUGGGUUCCUAGUAUCGUGAUCUACCUUCAG